rnacentral:rRNA from 1 species
GACGAACGCUGGCGGCGUGCUUAACACAUGCAAGUCGAACGGAAAGGCCCUGCUUUUGUGGGGUGCUCGAGUGGCGAACGGGUAAGUAACACGUGAGUAACCUGCCCUUGACUUUGGGAUAACUUCAGGAAACUGGGGCUAAUACCGGAUAGGAGCUCCUGCUGCAUGGUGGGGGUUGAAAAGUUUCGGCGGUUGGGGAUGGACUCGCGGCUUAUCAGCUUGUUGGUGGGGUAGUGGCUUACCAAGGCUUUGACGGGUAGCCGGCCUGAGAGGGUGACCGGCCACAUUGGGACUGUGAUACGGCCCAGACUCCUACGGGAGGCAGCAGUGGGGAAUAUUGCACAAUGGGCGGAAGCCUGAUGCAGCAACGCCGCGUGCGGGAUGACGGCCUUCGGGUUGUAAACCGCUUUCGCCUGUGACGAAGCGUGAGUGACGGUAAUGGGUAAAGAAGCACCGGCUAACUACGUG